AUGCCAUCCACAAUUGACUCUCAUGUCACAAUGGCUCCAGCGCCUGGUGGCCCAAAGUCUGCUACUAUUACCGUUGUGCGAUCUGGCCUGCCACCUAGGCGGCGUAGCCCCCGCAAGAUUCCUACACAGGUAUCCAAUGCACCACAGUUAGUUAAGAGCAGCAAAGGUGACUCUGUUUACGUGCCUGCUUCCACACUAUUCCCACCGUCUGCCGAAAUCAAUGUACCCGAGAAGACGGAAGUCAGCAGUACAACAAAUGUAGCUGGUAAGCUGUGUGCUACUGAAGGAGGUGGAUGUUCAGAGCAGGCUACGUCUUUUACCGCCAUGGAGAACACCAGCGUAAAUCUGUGCACUUCCAAGCUCCUUGUCAACAUUGGUGUCCCCUACAACCCAAACAGGAAUAUAGGCAAGAAAGCUGUGAUUGAGAUCGCUGACAACACACCCCGACCUACUAACAAGCCUGAUGAUCCUGCAGCACACGAGGCAGACAUGUUUGUUGAUCUGUCACCUCUAGAUUCUGCUAAUCAAUUUGUCCGCAAUCCGGCUGUUAGACAGGAGAGGCACCCCAUGGCUCUCACCCCACCAAGCUUUAGUCUUGGCAUCAACAGCACUCAGGAUGUACCAGUGCACGAUCCUAUGCCUGUUUCCUUUUCUUUCUCGGCAGGCACGAUCCCAAUGAUGGAGCAGCCACUGGCUGAUGGCAGGAAGGCUGUCAAGUUUGCAGAUCCCAUAGUGCAAGCCACCCCUGAGGAGAUUUCGUCAUCCCUUGAAGAAGCUUACCAUAGGGUUAAGCAGGAAGCAUUAAACAGAAGGUCCUUAAGGAAUCAGGGCCAAUCAAGUUCUGACGUGCCUGCUGAGGUAGUAUCCGAGGAUACCAUCAGAAGUGAAACCCCUGGAUCUGUGAGGCAGGUGAGGGUAGUUCAUAGCACCACCAGUGGAUGA
rnacentral:rRNA from 1 species